UACGGAGGGUGCGAGCGUUAAUCGGAAUUACUGGGCGUAAAGCGCGCGUAGGUGGUUUGGUAAGUCGAUUGUGAAAGCCCCGGGCUUAACCUGGGAAUUGCAUUCGAUACUGCCGGACUAGAGUAUGGUAGAGGGUAGUGGAAUUCCGGGUGUAGCGGUGAAAUGCGUAGAUAUCCGGAGGAACAUCAGUGGCGAAGGCGGCUACCUGGACCAAUACUGACACUGAGGUGCGAAAGCGUGGGGAGCAAACAGG
rnacentral:misc_RNA from 1 species